UACGUAGGGGGCAAGCGUUGUCCGGAAUCAUUGGGCGUAAAGCGCGCGUAGGCGGUCCGGUAAGUCCGCUGUGAAAGUCGGGGGCUCAACCCUCGAAUGCCGGUGGAUACUGUCGGGCUAGAGUGCGGAAGAGGCGAGUGGAAUUCCUGGUGUAGCGGUGAAAUGCGCAGAUAUCAGGAGGAACACCUAUUGCGAAGGCAGCUCGCUGGGACGUUACUGACGCUGAGACGCGAAAGCGUGGGGAGCAAACAGG
rnacentral:rRNA from 1 species